GAUGCAGCGACGCCGCGUGGGGGAUGAAGGCCUUCGGGUUGUAAACCCCUUUCAGCAGGGAAGAAGCGAAAGUGACGGUACCUGCAGAAGAAGCGCCGGCUAACUACGUGCCAGCAGCCGCGGUAAUACGUAGGGCGCAAGCGUUGUCCGGAAUUAUUGGGCGUAAAGAGCUCGUAGGCGGUUCGUCGCGUCUGCCGUGAAAGCCCGAGGCUCAACCUCGGGUCUGCGGUGGGUACGGGCGGACUAGAGUGUGGUAGGGGAGACUGGAAUUCCUGGUGUAGCGGUGGAAUGCGCAGAUAUCAGGAGGAACACCAAUGGCGAAGGCAGGUCUCUGGGCCACAACUGACGCUGAGGAGCGAAAGCGUGGGUAGCAAACAGGAUUAGAUACCCUGGUAGUCCACGCCGUAAACGGUGGGCACUAGAUGUGGGGCUCAUUCCACGAGUUCCGCGUCGCAGCUAACGCAUUAAGUGCCCCGCCUGGGGAGUACGGCCGCAAGGCUAAAACUCAAAGGAAUUGACGGA
rnacentral:rRNA from 1 species